rnacentral:rRNA from 1 species
CUACGGGGGGCAGCAGUGGGGAAUAUUGCACAAUGGGCGCAAGCCUGAUGCAGCCAUGCCGCGUGUAUGAAGAAGGCCUUCGGGUUGUAAAGUACUUUCAGCGGGGAGGAAGGGAGUAAAGUUAAUACCUUUGCUCAUUGACGUUACCCGCAGAAGAAGCACCGGCUAACUCCGUGCCAGCAGCCGCGGUAAUACGGAGGGUGCAAGCGUUAAUCGGAAUUACUGGGCGUAAAGCGCACGCAGGCGGUUUGUUAAGUCAGAUGUGAAAUCCCCGGGCUCAACCUGGGAACUGCAUCUGAUACUGGGAAGGUUGAGUCUCGUAGAGGGGGGUAGAAUUCCAGGUGUAGCGGUGAAAUGCGUAGAGAUCUGGAGGAAUACCGGUGGCGAAGGCGGCCCCCUGGACGAAGACUGACGCUCAGGUGCGAAAGCGUGGGGAGCAAACAGGAUUAGAUACCCCGGUAGUC